rnacentral:rRNA from 1 species
CUUUGUCGCCUGAAAGGGUGUGCAUACCGCGACUAUAAACAAUGUAAGUAUGUCAAGGACAAGUCGGGGGCCUAUCUAGGCCUCCGGCGACGCUGUCAAAUUGCGGGGAGUCCCUUAGAGCUUUCACUACUAAGCGGUGUCUGAAAGGUCACCGUGGCCAGGGUAAUUCCCUCGGGUACAGUCACAACGUGAAAGAUUGGGUAACCUGCAGCCAAGUCCUGUCGCCUAAAGAGAGUUGGUCCCGGACUGCUUUCUUACGGGUGUGGAUGCUGUUCACAGGCCAAAUGGUAGCGGGUUCGGCUGUGGCCGGGCUCAAGAUAUGGUCGGUCCCGCGAGGAAACUUGUGGGGAGUUCGCCGGGUUAAUGGGGCUCUCGUCGUGCGAGUUGCGCCUAAACCAGUAACAAGAAAAUAAACGUUCCGUAGGUGAACCUGCGGAAGGAUCAUUA